rnacentral:tRNA from 1 species
GGAUUGUGGCUCAGUGGUAGAGUGCUCAUCUAGCAUGCAUGAGGCACUGGGAUCAAUGCUCAGCACCA